rnacentral:rRNA from 1 species
CCUACGGGAGGCAGCAGUGGGGAAUAUUGGGCAAUGGAGGCAACUCUGACCCAGCAAUGCCGCGUGAGUGAUGAAGGUAAUUUUGUUGUAAAGCUCUUUUCUUUGGGACGAAUAAAUGACGGUACCUAAGGAAUAAGCCCCGGCUAACUACGUGCCAGCAGCCGCGGUAAUACGGGGGGAGCAAGCGUUGUUAGGAAUGACUGGGCGUAAAGGGUGUGUAGGUGGUUUGAUAAGUUCAUUGUGUAAUACCCAGGGCUUAACUCGGGUACUGCAUCUGAAACUGGUAGGCUUGAGUACUGGAGAGGAUAGUGGAAUUCCAAGUGUAGCGGUGAAAUGCGUAGAUAUGAGGAGGAACAUCAGUGGCGAAGGCGACUAUCUGGACAGCGACUGACACUGAGGCACGAAAGCGUGGGGAGCAAACAGGAUUAGAUACCCGGGUAGUC